GACGAACGCUGGCGGCGUGCUUAACACAUGCAAGUCGAACGGAAAGGCCCUGCUUUUGUGGGGUGCUCGAGUGGCGAACGGGUGAGUAACACGUGAGUAACCUGCCCUUGACUUUGGGAUAACUUCAGGAAACUGGGGCUAAUACCGGAUAGGAGCUCCUGCUGCAUGGUGGGGGUUGGAAAGUUUCGGCGGUUGGGGAUGGACUCGCGGCUUAUCAGCUUGUUGGUGGGGUAGUGGCUUACCAAGGCUUUGACGGGUAGCCGGCCUGAGAGGGUGACCGGCCACAUUGGGACUGAGAUACGGCCCAGACUCAUACGGGAGGCAGCAGUGGGGAAUAUUGCACAAUGGGCGGAGGCAUGAUGCAGCAACGCCGCGUGCGGGAUGACGGCCUUCGGGUUGUAAACCGCUUUCGCCUGUGACGAAGCGUGAGUGACGGUAAUGGGUAAAGAAGCACCGGCUAACUACGU
rnacentral:rRNA from 1 species